AUUCCAUGACAAUUUAGACCUAAAAAUAUUGUUUCUACUCUAAUGGAAAACAAAAAUAACCUCAAAUGAUGUUCUGAAUGGACCGAUCCAGUAAGCCCCGCCCCAUGGUAUUCUGACCAAUCACAGCCGUGAUUUAUGUCCGACAUGCGUGCACAAAAGUCCGACAUACAUGCACGCGUGUAUGAUGCGCGCGGCAGGAAAAUGCAGGGUGGCAUUGGAGAGGAGCACGUGUUAAUUUGCCCACGUGCGCAGUGGGAGGGGCUUACUGGAUCGGUCCAUUAGGGUUCAUUGCUUAAAGGCUUUUGGUCAACUAACCCCUGGGCUUCAACACCUCAGCUUUCUCCCCCCCCCCCCCCACCCCACCCCUUCAAAACUCCUGGGGUCGCUACUGAUAGACUGGUCUUGUCUUAUACGACAACACUCUUCACAGUCUAUGUUACACUGCAAGACUAACAAGAAUAAAAGAAUGGGUUUAUCAGCAGUGGGCCCUUAACAUGCCUUCUCGGCGAGAAACUUAACAUGUUAUUUCAGGAACUCUUCUUGUGGUUUUUGUAACUUUUAACUAGGCUUACUUUUACUUUUAAGCUUGUAAGAAUACUCAACAUACUUGAAAUUGACCUUUUUUUCUUGUCACGUUGGCAACCUCUCCAUAACUAAUCAGGGGUCAGCGUACUUUCCAACCACGGAGUAGGAUUUGGAUGCCUACUUGAUCUUCCUUGGCCUGAUGAUUCCCUUAACGGCAAAACUCUCAAAGGUAGACUACAGCGUUGAUACCACUUGUUUCUUCAAGUUGCUCGGUUCACAGCUUAGUGAGAAAUGAUAUUGACAACUUCUGCCUUAAUAAUCAUACUUUCCAACCACGCUGUCGGUAAAACGAAAGUCUAGUACUCCCCGACUGGCAAACCACUGGUUUUGUCAGUCCUCUUCGCCGUUUAGGACUCCUGGGUUACAGUGCUACUCUACUCUUAGAGUAAGCUACUCUUACCUUCUUCAACAAUAGCAUGAUGAUUGCGACUCAAGCUGGUCUUUGGGGAUGAGGUUAAUUAACAAAGUGUAUCGAUUGAGAACCAUUACGUUGAUCUUACCAGCUGUUGCAGCACCUUUCUUUGUCAAUUCCUCUAGGAGACUUCUGGAGACGUGUCAGGAACUCUUGGGGCGUCUUUCCCUUCUUUCCCCUCAUGGUGCAUCUUGCGAAAAGAGUGUCUUUGGUUUAUGUGAGAGGGGAAUCCGAACAAUGACUGUGCCUCUGGUGCGAAUGGAUGUCUUGGUUUGAGGCGGGGUUGUCUGGCUUCUUCAGUGAUGACCAUACACGAGUAUUACUUGGGAGUCACUCUACUGAGACACCCACGCCUUCCUUCUAAUAACAAUCUUCUCAAUAAUUACCUCUGUUGUAUUAAUGUUCUUCUCAAUCCAAAUGAGAAGGGCUGCCAAAUGGAUAGCUUGCGAGUUGAAUUGGGACUGGAAGCUCAGGUGAUGAACUUGCAGGGACUUAGCUUGCAGAUACUUGUGAUGAAAUUGACUAUAUCCCUGCAGGGUUUGGCUACUAUUGCCUAUCGGAAGACUGGUCCAGGCACCCGUCGAGCUACUCAUACCUUCUUCAACAGUACCAUGAUGAUUGCAAAUCAAGUUGGUCUUUGGGGAUGAGGUUUAUUAACAAAGUGUAUCGAUUGAGAACCAUUAGGUUGAUCUUACCAGCUGUUGCAGCACCUCUCUUUGUCAAUUUCUCUAGGAGACUUCUGGAGACGUGGCAGGAACUUUGGGGCUUCUUUCCCUUCUCCCCCUCGUGGUGCAUCUUGCGAAACGGAGUGUCUUUGGUUUUUGUGAGAGGUGACAUCGGAUGAAGACUUGCACAUUCUGUGUCACAUAUCUAAAACUGUCUGAAUGGUGGUUUUGCAUUUUUGCACCAGACCGCCAGGCUGCAGUUGUACGAGCUGACCUUACUCGAGUCAUACCGUGGUCAUAUCAAGUUGUGCCUUUUUGAUCUUGAUGGUCUUAAAACAACACUUUCCCAGUGUGAAGCAUGUAACGGACUAUGUAAGAAACAAACUAACCUCCACCUGCCGACCUCUGACCUCAAGAGUUCUGUUACUUAUAAACUAUGCUGUUUGGUCAAUACUGUCGGUUUCCGCUUUCACCCAGUGCUUAUGGAUGUGUUUCAGGGAUGUCCAUUCACGAGUCAGGAUCAAGAAACAGUGGGUGAACAACAACAAAGGAAUGCCUUUGUCAAUUCGAAUAGCUUGAGUGUUGAAUUGGGACUGGAAGAGACUGGUGAUGAACGUGCAGGGACUUAGCUUGCAGAUACUUGUAUACUAUAUCCCUGCAGUCUUUGGCUACUAUAGGAAGACUGGUUCAGGCACCCGUCAAGCUACUCACACCUUCUUCAACAGUACCAUAAUGAUUGCAACUCAAGUUGGUCUUUGGGGGUGAGGUUCAUUAACAAAGUGUAUCGAUUGAGAACCAUUAGGUUGAUCUUACCAGCUGUUGCAGCACCUCUCUUUGUCAAUUUCUCUAGGAGACUUCUGGAGACGUGUCAGGAACUCUUGGGGCGUCUUUCCCUUCUCUCCCCACAUGGUGCAUCUUGCAAAAAGAGUGUCUUUGGUUUAUUUGAGAGGGUACUCCGAACAGUUUUCCGGCUUCUUCAGUGAUGGCCAUACACGAGUAUUACUUGGGAGUCACUCUACUUAAGACAGCCCGCGCCUUCCUUCUAAUAACAAUUUUCUCAAUAAUUACCUCUGUUGUAUCAAUGUUCUUCUCAAUCCAAAUGAGAAGGGCUGCCAAAUGGAUAGCUUGCGAGUUGAAUUGGGACUGGAAGCUCAGGUGAUGAACUUGCAGGGACUUAGCUUGCAGAUACUUGUGAUGAAAUCGACUACAUCCCUGCAGGGUUUUGCUACCAGUGCCUAUAGGAACACUGGUCCAGGCACCCGUCAAGCUACUCAUACCUUCUUCAACAGUACCAUGAUGAUUGUAACUCAAGUUGGUCUUUGGGGAUGAGGUUUAUUAACAAAGUGUAUCGAUUGAGAAACAUUAGGUUGAUCUUACCAGCUGUUGCAGCACCUUUCUUUGUCAAUUUCUCUAGGAGACUUCUGGAGACGUGGCAGGAACUUUGGGGCUUCUUUCCCUUCUCCCCCUCAUGGUGCAUCUUGCGAAACGGAGUGUCUUUGGUUUAUGUGACAGGUGACAUCGGAUGAAGACUUGCACAUUCUGUGUCACAUAUCUAAAACUGUCUGAAUGGUGGUUUUGCAUUUUUGCACCAGACCGCCAGGCUGCAGUCUUACGAGCUUACCUUAUUGAGUCAUAAAGUGGUCAUAUCAAGUUGUGCCUUUUUGAUCUGGAUGGUCUUAAAACAACACUUUCCCAGUGUGAAACAUGUAACGGACUAUGUAAGAAACAAACUAACCUCCACCUGCCGACCUCUGACGUCACAGUUCUGUUUCUUACAAACUAUGCUGUUGGGUCGAUUCUGUUGGUUUCCCCUUACACCCAGUGUUGUAUGGAUGUGUUUCAGGGAUGUCCGUUCACGAGUCAGGAUCAAGAAACAGUGGGUGAACAAUAACAAAGGAAUGCCUUUGUCAAUUUGAAUAGCUUGCGAGUUGAAUUGGGACUGGAAGAGACUGGUGAUGAACUUGCAGGGACUUAGAUUGCAGAUACUUGUAUACUAUAUCCCUGCAGUCUUUGGCUACUAUAGGAAGACUGGUUCAGGCACCCGUCAAGCUACUCUUACCUUCUUCAACAAUACCAUGAUGAUUGCAACUGAAGUUGGUCUUUGGGGAUGAGGUUUAUUAACAAAGUGUAUCGAUUGAGAACCAUUAGGUUGAUCUUGCCAGCUGUUGGAGCACCUUUCUUUGUCAAUUCCUCUAGGAGACUUCUGGAGACAUGUCAGGAACUCUUGGGGCGUCUUUCCCUUCUCUUCCAACAUGGUGCAUCUUGCGAAAAGAGUGUCUUUGGUUUAUGUGAGAGGGGAAUCCGAACAACUGUGCCUCUGGUGCGAAUGGAUGCCUUGGUUUGAGUCGGGGUUGUCCGGCUUCUUCAGUGAUGACCAUACAUGAGUAUUACUUGGGAGUCACUCUACUUGAGACAGCCCGCGACUUCCUUCCAAUAACAAUCUUCUCAAUAGUUACCUCUGUUGUAUUAAUGUUCUUCUCAAUCCAAACGAGAAGGGCUGCCAAAUGGAUAGCUUCCGAGUUGAAUUGGGACUGGAAGCUCAGGUGAUGAACUUGCAGGGACUUAGCUUGCAGAUACUUGUGAUGAAAUCGACUAUAUCCCUGCAGGGUUUGGCUAACAGUGCCUAUAGGAAAACUGGUCUAGGCACCCGUCAAGCUACUCGUACCUUCUUCAACAGUACCAUGAUGAUUGCAACUGAAGUUGGUCUUUGGGGAUGAGGUUUAUUAACAAAGUGUAUCGAUUGAGAACCAUUAGGUUGAUCUUACCAGCUGUGGCAGCACCUUUCUUUGUCAAUUCCUCUAGGAGACUUCUGGAGAUGUGGCAGGAACUCUUGGGGCGUCUUUCCCUUCUCUUCCAACAUGGUGCAUCUUGCGAAAAGAGUGUCUUUGGUUUAUGUGAGAGGGGAAUCUGAACAACUGUGCCUCUGGUGCGAAUGGAUGCCUUGGUUUGAGGCGGGGUUGUCCGGCUUCUUCAGUGAUGACCAUACACGAGUAUUACUUGGGAGUCACUCUACUUGAGACAGCCCGCGACUUCCUUCCAAUAACAAUCUUCUCAAUAAUUACCUCUGUUGUAUUAAUGUUCUUCUCAAUUCAAAUGAGAAGGGCUGCCAAAUGGAUAGCUUCCGAGUUGAAUUGGGACUGGAAGCUCAGGUGAUGAACUUGCAGGGACUUAGCUUGCAGAUACUUGUGAUGAAAUCGACUAUAUCCCUGCAGGGUUUGGCUACCAUUGCCUAUAGGAAGACUGGUCCAGGCACCCGUUGAGCUACUCAUACCUUUUCCAACAGUACCAUGAUGAUUGCAACUCAAGUUGGUCUUCGGGGAUGAGGUUUAUUAACAAAGUGUAUCGAUUGAGAACCAUGAGGUUGAUCUUACCAGCUGUUGCAGCACCUCUCUUUGUCAAUUCCUCUAGGAGACUUCUGGAGACGUGGCAGGAACUUUUGGGGCUUCUUUCCCUUCUCCCCCUCAUGGUGCAUCUUGCAAAACGGAGUGUCUUUGGUUUUUGUGAGAGGUGACUUCGAAUGAAGACUUGCACAUUCUGUGUCACAUAUCUGAAACUGUCUGAAUGGUGGUUCUGCAUUUUUGCACCAGACCGCCAGGCUGCAGUUGUACGAGCUGAUCUUACCCGAGUCAUACCAAGUUGUGCCUUUUUGAUCUGGAUGGCCUUUGGGGGCUUUUUUUCCUUCUCCCCCGUCAUGGUGCAUCUUGUGAAAAGAGUGUUUUUGGUUUAUGUAAGAGGUGACUUCGGAUAAAGACUGUGCCUCUUGUGCAAAUGGAUGCCUUGGUUCGAUGCAGGGUUGUCCGGCUUCUUCAGUGAUGACCAUACACGAGUAUUACUUGGGAGUCACUCUACUUAAGACAGCCCACACCACCUUCUAAUAGCAAUCUUCUCGAUAAUUACCUCUGUUGUUUUAGUGUUCUUCUCAAUCCAAAUGAGAAGGGCUGCCAAAUAAUGGCACCUGUCUGUUUACCAACUUAAACGUUAGAAGAGAUAUUUUCUAGCAGUUACUAGGAUCUACACCUCCACUUUGUGUAUCUUCGCUUUUUCAUCGAAGCUUGAAUCUUUCCAAUCAUGAGACACCAGACUGGCAGGCUGACCUUACUCGAGUCAUACCGUGGUCAUACCAAGUUGUGCCUUUUUGAUCUGGAUGGUCUUAAAACAACACUUGCCCAGUGUGAAGCAUGUAACGGGCUACGUAAAUAAUACCCUGCACCUGCCGACCUCAGACCUCAGAGUUCUGUUUCUUACAAACUAUGCUGUUGAGUCAAUUCUGUUGGUUUCCGCUUACACCCAGUGUUGUAUGGAUGUGUUUCGGGGAUGUCCGUUCACUAGUCCGGAUCAAGAAACAGUGGAUGAACAAUAACGAAAAAAAAUGCCUUUGUCAAUUUGAAUAGCUUGCAAGUUGAAUUGGGACUGGAAGACUGGUGAUGAACUUGCAGGGACUUAUCUUACAGAUACUUGUGAUGAAAUCGACUAUAUCCCUGCAGGGUUUGGCUACCAGUGCCUAUAGGAAGACUGGUCCAGGCACCCGCAAAGCUACUCUUACCUUCUUCAACAGUGUCAAGUAGCGUGACGAUUGCGACUCAAGUCGGUCUUUGGGGAUGAGAUUUAUUAACAAAUUGUUUCGAUUGAGAACCAUUAGGUUGAUCCUACCAGCUGUUGCAGCACCUUUCCUUGUCAAUUCCUCUAGGAGACUUCUGGAGACGUGUCAGGAACUCUGGGGGCAUCUUUCCCUUCUCCCCCUCGUGGUGCAUCUUGCAAAACAGUGUCUUUGGUUUAUGUGACAGGUGACUUCGGAUGAAGACUUGCACAUUCUGUGUCACAUAUCUGAAACUGUCAAAGAGUGUCUUUGGUUUAUGUGAGAGGGGACUCCGAACAGUUGUCCGGCUUCUUCAGUGAUGACCAUACACGAGUAUUACUUGGGAGUCACUCUACUUAAGACAGCCCGUACCUUCCUUUUAAUAACAAUCUUCUCAAUAAUUACCUCUGUUGUAUUAAUGUUCUUCUCAGUCAUAAUGAGAACGGCUGCCAAAUGGAUAGCUUCCGAGUUGAAUUGGGACUGGGAGCUCAGGUGAUGAACUUGCAGGGACUUAGCGUGCAGAUUCUUGUGAUGAAAUCGACUACAUCCCUGCAGGGUUUGGCUACCAGUGCCUAUAGGAAGACUGGUCCAGGCACCCGUCAAGCUACUCGUACCUUCUUCAACAGUACCAUGAUGAUUGCAACUCAAGUUGUUCUUUGGGGAUGAGGUUUAUUAACAAAGUGUAUCGAUUGAGAACCAUUAGGUUGAUCUUACCAGCUGUUGCAGCACCUCUCUUUGUCAAUUUCUCUAGGAGACUUCUGGAGACGUGGCAGGAACUUUGGGGCUUCUUUCCCUUCUCCCCCUCGUGGUGCAUGUUGUGAAACGGAGUGUCUUUGGUUUUUGUGCCAGGUGACAUCGAAUGAAGACUUGCACAUUCUUUGUCACAUAUCUGAAACUGUCUGAAUGGUGGUUUUGCAUUUUUGCACCAGACCGCCAGGCUGCAGUUGUACGAGCUGACCUUACUUGAGUCAUACCGUGGUCAUAUCAAGUUGUGCCUUUUUGAUCUGGAUGGUCUUAAAACAACACUUGCCCAGUGUGAAGCAUUGAACGGGCUACGUAAAAAACGAACCUGUACCUGCCGACCUGCUGUUGGGUUGAUUCUGUUGGUUUCCGCUUACACCCUUGUUGUAUGGAUGUGUUUCAGGGAUGUCCGUUCACAAGUCCGGAUCAAGAAACAGUGGAUAAACAAUUACAAAGGAAUGCCUUUGUCAAUUUGAAUAGCUUGCGAGUUGAAUUGGGACUGGAAGACUGAUGAUGAACUUGCAGUGACCUAUACCUUGCAGAUACUUCUGAUGAAAUUGACUACAACCCUGCAAGGUUUGGCUACCAGUGCCUAUAGGAAGACUGGUCCAAGCACCCGUCAAGCUAUUCUUACCUUCUUCAACAGUAGCAUGAUGAUUGCGACUCAAGUUGGCCUUUGGGGAUGAGGUUUAUUAACAAAGUGUAUCGAUUAAGAACCAUUAUUAUCUGUUGCAGUCUCCUCCCUAGAAGACUUCUGGAGACGUGUCAGGAACUCUGGGGUCUUCUUUCACUUCUCCCUCUCGUGGUGCAUCUUGCGAAAGAGUGUCUUUGGUUUAUGUGAGAGCUGACUUUGGAUAAAGAGUAUUUGGUUUAUGUGAGAGUUGACUUCGGAUAAAGACUUGCAGAUUCUGUGUCACAUAUCUGAAAAUGUCUUAUGUGACAGGUGACAUCGAAUAAAGACUUGCACAUUUUGUGUCACAUAUCUGAAACUGUUGAGACUUCUGGGGACGUGUCUGGAACUCUAGGGGCUUCUUUCCCGUCUCCCCCUCGUGGUGCAUCUUGCAAAAGAGUGUCUUUGGUUUGUGUGACAGGUGACUUCGAAUGAAGACUUGCAGAUUCUGUGUCACAUAUCUGAAACUGUCUGAAUGGUGAUUUUGCAUUUAAAAGGCUACUUUAAAAGUUUGAAUUGAGAAAGAUAUUAAGUCCAUAGGACAAAAAUAACGAGAAUGGUAUGAAGUCCAUAGGACAAAAUAAUGAGAAAGGUAUUAGGUCCAUAGAACAAAAAUAAUGAGAAAGGUAUUAAGUCCCUAGAACAAAAAUAAUGCGAAAAGAGUGUCGUUGGUUUAUGUGAGAGGGGACUCCGAACAGUGACUGUGCCUCUGGUGCGAAUGGAUGUCUUGGUUUGAGGCGGGGUUGUCCGGCUUCUUCAGUGAUGACCAUACACGAGUAUUACUUUGGAGUCACUCUACUUAAGACAGCCCGCGCAUUCCUUCAAAUAGCAAUCUCCUCAACAAUUAACUCUGUUGUAUUAAUGUUCUUCUCAAUCCAAAUGAGAAGGGCUGCCAAAUGGAUAGCUUGCGAGUUGAAUUGGGACUGGAAGGUCAGGUGAUGAACUUGCAGGGACUUAGCUUGCAGAUACUUGUGAUGAAUUCGACUACAUCCCCGCAGGGUUUUGCUACCAGUGCCUAUAGGAAGACUGGUCCAGGCACCCGUCAAGCUACUCAUACCUUCUUCAACAGUUCCAUGAUGAUCGCAACUCAAGUUGUUCUUUGGGGAUGAGGUUUAUUAACAAAGUGUAUCGAUUGAGAACCAUUAGGUUGAUCUUACCAGCUGAUGCAGCACCUCUCUUUGUCAAUUUCUCUAGGAGACUUCUGGAGACGUGGCAGGAACUUUGGGGCUUCUUUCCCUUCUCCCCCUCGUGGUGCAUCUUGCGAAACGGAGUGUCUUUGGUUUUUGUGCCAGGUGACAUCGAAUGAAGACUUGCACAUUCUUUGUCACAUAUCUGAAACUGUCUGAAUGGUGGUUUUGCAUUUUUGCACCAGACUGCCAGGCUGCAGUUGUACGAGCUGACCUUACUUGAGUCAUACCGUGGUCAUAUCAAGUUGUGCCUUUUUGAUCUGGAUGGUCUUAAAACAACACUUGCCCAGUGUGAAGCAUUGAACGGGCUACGUAAAAAACGAACCUGUACCUGCCGACCUGCUGUUGGGUCGAUUCUGUUGGUUUCCGCUUACACCCAUUAUUGUAUGGAUGUGUUUCAGGGAUGUCCGUUCACAAGUCCGGAUCAAGAAACAGUGGAUAAACAAUUACAAAGGAAUGCCUUUGUUAAUUUUAAUAGCUUGCGAGUUGAAUUGGGACUGGAAGACUGAUGAUGAGCUUGCAGUGACCUAUACCUUGCAGAUACUUGUGAUGAAAUUGACUACAGCCCUGCAAGGUUUGGCUACCAGUGCCUAUAGGAAGACUGGUCCAAGCACCCGUCAAGCUAUUCUUACCUUCUUCAACAGUAGCAUGAUGAUUGCGACUCAAGUUGGCCUUUGGGGAUGAGGUUUAUUAACAAAGUGUAUCGAUUAAGAACCAUUAUUAUCUGUUGCAGUCUCCUCCCUAGAACACAUCUGGAGACGUGUCAGGAACUCUGGGGUCUUCUUUCACUUCUCCCUCUUGUGGUGCAUCUUGCGAAAGAGUGUCUUUGGUUUAUGUGAGAGCUGACUUUGGAUAAAGAGUAUUUGGUUUAUGUGAGAGUUGACUUCGGAUAAAGACUUGCAGAUUCUGUGUCACAUAUCUGAAAAUGUCUUAUGUGACAGGUGACAUCGAAUAAAGACUUGCACAUUUUGUGUCACAUAUCUGAAACUGUUGAGACUUCUGGGGACGUGUCUGGAACUCUAGGGGCUUCUUUCCCGUCUCCCCCUCGUGGUGCAUCUUGCAAAAGAGUGUCUCUGGUUUGUGUGACAGGUGACUUUGAAUGAAGACUUGCAGAUUCUGUGUCACAUAUCUGAAACUGUCUGAAUGGUGAUUUUGCAUUUAAAAGGCUACUUUAAAAGUUUGAAUUGAGAAAGAUAUUAAGUCCAUAGGACAAAAAUAACGAGAAUGGUAUGAAGUCCAUAGGACAAAAUAAUGAGAAAGGUAUUAAGUCCAUAGAACAAAAAUAAUGAGAAAGGUUUUAAGUCCCUAGGACAAAAAUAAUGCGAAAAGAGUGUCUUUGGUUUAUGUGAGAGGGGACUCCGAACAGUGACUGUGCCUCUGGUGCGAAUGGAUGUCUUGGUUUGAGGCGGGGUUGUCCGGCUUCUUCAGUGAUGACCAUACACGAGUAUUACUUUGGAGUCACUCUAUUUAAGACAGCCCGCGCAUUCCUUCUAAUAGCAAUCUCCUCAACAAUUAACUCUGUUGUAUUAAUGUUCUUCUCAAUCCAAAUGAGAAGGGCUGCCAAAUGGAUAGCUUGCGAGUUGAAUUGGGACUGGAAGGUCAGGUGAUGAACUUGCAGGGACUUAGCUUGCAGAUACUUGUGAUGAAUUCGACUACAUCCCUGCAGGGUUUUGCUACCAGUGCCUAUAGGAAGACUGGUCCAGGCACCCGUCAAGCUACUCAUACCUUCUUCAACAGUUCCAUGAUGAUCGCAACUCAAGUUGUUCUUUGGGGAUGAGGUUUAUUAACAAAGUGUAUCGAUUGAGAAACAUUAGGUUGAUCUUACCAGCUGAUGCAGCACCUCUCUUUGUCAAUUUCUCUAGGAGACUUCUGGAGACGUGGCAGGAACUUUGGGGCUUUUUUCCCUUCUCCCCCUCGUGGUGCAUCUUGCGAAACGGAGUGUCUUUGGUUUAUGUGACAGGUGACAUCGAAUGAAGACUUGCACAUUCUGUGUCACAUAUCUGAAACUGUUGGGACUUCUGGGGACGUGUCUGGAACUCUAGGGGCUUCUUUCCCUUCUCCCCCUCGUGGUGCAUCUUGCAAAAGAGUGUCUCUGGUUUGUGUGACAGGUGACUUCGAAUGAAGACUUGCAGAUUCUGUGUGACAUAUCUGAAACUGUCUGAAUGGUGGUUUUGCAUUUAAAAGGCUAUUUUAAAAGUUUGAAUUGAGAAAGAUAUUAAGUCCAUAGGACAAAAAUAACGAGAAUGGUAUUAAGUCCAUAGGACAAUAUAAUGAGAAAGGUAUUAAGUCCAUAGAACAAAAAUAAUGAGAAAGGUAUUAAGUCCUUAGGACAAAUAUAAUGCGAAAAGAGUGUCUUUGGUUUAUUUGAGAGGGGACUCCGAACAGUGACUGUGCCUCUGGUGCGAAUGGAUGCCUUGGUUUGAGGCGGGGUUGUCCUGCUUCUUCAGUGAUGACCAUACACGAGUAUUACUUGGGAGUCACUCUACUUAAGACAGCCCGCGCCUUCCUUUUAAUAGCAAUCUUCUCAAUAAUUACCUCUGUUGUAUUAAUGUUCUUCUCAAUCCAAAUGAGAAGGGCUGCCAAAUGAAUAGCUUGCGAGUUGAAUUGGGACUGGAAGCUCAGGUGAUGAACUUGCAGGGACUUAACUUGCAGAUACUUGUGAUGAAAUUGACUACAUCCCUGCAGGGUUUGGCUACCAGUGCCUAUAGGAAGACUGGUCCAGGCACCCGUCAAGCUACUCUUACCUUCUUCAACAGUACCAUGAUGAUUGCAACUCAAGUUGGUCUUUGGGGUGAGGUUUAUUAACAAAGUGUAUCGAUUGAGAACCAUUAGGUUGAUCUUACCAGCUGUUGCAGCACCUCUCUUUGUCAAUUUCUCUAUGAGACUUCUGGAGACGUGGCAGGAACUUUGGGGCUUCUUUCCCUUCUCUCCCCACAUGGUGCAUCUUGCGAAAAGAGUGUCUUUGGUUUAUGUGAGAGGGGACUCCGAACAGUUGUCCGGCUUCCAUAGUGAUGCCCAUACACGAGUAUUACUUGGGAGUCACUCUACUUAAGACAGCCCGCGCCUUCCUUCUUAUAACAAUCUUCUCAAUAAUUACCUCUGUUGUAUUAAUGUUCUUCUCAAUCCAAAUGAGAAGGGCUGCCAAAUGGAUAGCUUGCCAGUUGAAUUUGGACUGGAAGCUGAGGUGAUGAACUUGCAGGGACUUAGCUUGCAGAUACUUGUGAUGAAUUCGACUACAUCCCUGCAGGGUUUUGCUACCAGUGCCUAUAGGAAGACUGGUCCAGGCACCUGUCAAGCUACUCAUACCUUUUUCAACAGUACCAUGAUGAUCGCAACUCAAGUUGGUCUUUGGGGAUGAGGUUUAUUAACAAAGUGUAUCGAUUGAGAACCAUUAGGUUGAUCUUACCAGCAGUUGCAGCACCUCUCUUUGUCGAUUUCUCUAGGAGACUUCUGGAGACGUGGUAGGAACUUUGGGGCUUCUUUCCCUUCUCCCCCUCGUGGUGCAUCUUGCGAAACGGAGUGUCUUUGGUUUAUGUGACAGGUGACAUCGGAUGAAGACUUGCACAUUCUGUGUCACAUAUCUGAAACUGUCUUAUGUGACAGGUGACAUCGAAUAAAGACUUGCACAUUCUGUGUCACAUAUCUGAAACUGUUGAGACUUCUGGGGACGUGUCUGGAACUCUAGGGGCUUCUUUCCCUUCUCCCCCUCGUGGUGCAUCUUGCAAAAGAGUGUCUCUGGUUUGUGUGACAGGUGACAUCGGAUAAAGACUUGCAGAUUCUGUGUCACAUAUCUGAAACUGUCUGAAUGGUGGUUUUGCAUUUAAAAGGCUACUUUAAAAGUUUGAUUUGAGAAAGAUUUUAAGUCCAUAGGACAAAAAUAAUGAGAAAGGUAUGAAGUCCAUAGGACAAAAAUAAUGAGAUAGGUAUUAAGUUCGUAGGACAAAAAAAAUAAUGGAAUAUUACAAUAUAGUAUAUAUCGUUAAAAUUACUUGACAAAUUGAAUUGUAUUGAAUUGCUAGCUGUCUUUAUAUGUCCUUGGAGCAAAUCAUUUGGACAUCACAUUUGAUCAUUUGGUGCAUCGUUCUAAGGUGUGCAUUGCACCGUUAUCGGUGACGGUUCCAGGACAUUUCUUGCAUGUGGGGGAAGGUGGCUGAGGUGUUGAAGAUAACAGGUGGAGACAAGAAGACGAAAGCAAUGAAUAUUGUAUGACGUCCUUUUGAAGAAAAUAUUUUGGAAAAGCUAUGAACCUAAAGUCUACAGCAGUCCCGAAACGUACCUCACGGUACGUCAGACGAUUGGACGAUCUCCGUGUAGAAACGGGCUGUAAACCCUUCGGAAAAGUGCCCGUUGAUGAGUUCGACGAACAGUAAAUUAAAGGUCCAAUCAUUGUCAAGCUCGGCACGAGGGGAUGCCAAAGUUUAAAGGUACAGAGGUAACGACAAUUAACAGAAUAGACCAUGAACGAGUCAGAAUACGUUUCGCAGGAGGAAUAGGUAUAACGAACACCUUUAUAAAAAGGGCCUUGGGACUUUACAAAUUAGCAUGUUAUACAAAAUGUGGUAGGUACUUUGUAUUAACAGUAAUGGAAAACAAAGAAACACAAAGACUUGGGACCUAAACGUUUGCUUGUUAUAAGCAGGAUGUUGUAUUAACAGUGCUCUUCUCAAGUUCUAAGGCAUCGACUAUAUUCAUCGAGCUCAUGCAUAUUUGAAGAAAAUGAGUGAGGGCUCAUGUACCUGUUUGUA
rnacentral:lncRNA from 1 species